UGAUCCGAUUAUGUCCACAUAAGGCAAAUGCUGGCUAUAGCCAAUCAAGUUGUAUAACCUGUGCUUGUGGAGAGUUUGGGUGUGUUGAACCAUCUUUCAUGUGGAGUACUGCUGCUGUGUUCCCGAACUUUUUUUCUCAUUCACAUCAACUUUGUAAAUUUAACUGCUUUCGGGUUUUUAACCGUUUGGUGUAUAGCUGGCCAAUUGGAAGAAGGAGCUUGGAUCUUGUUUGGUACCCGCCAGGCCCCUCGAGCCCAUUGAUCUCUACUCGGCAACCAGAGCACCUGGAAACUAAGCUGACAGCUCGUUGAAAAGGAUGGUGACACAUUGCUGUUCUCUGGACGGUGCUUUGGGGGCACUUCUGCCAGUCCUGCCUGCUUGGAUAACUUCAGCUCAAACUAGCAACCAGGCUUCACCCAUGUAAAGAACAGAAUAAAUGAGGCAGAUGUUUUACUGA